rnacentral:lncRNA from 1 species
GACAUGAAGACACAGUACGCCGUGACGGGCUUAUUGGGUGUCAGCUCCUCCAACGCCAUCAGGUUUCGCAGGACCGUCCACGUCAUGCCAUCAACCCGCAGGCGGGGGACCCACAGCGUGCCUCCUUGAAGGCGCACGUCGAGGAAGGUCCACUUCUCAUUGUCCUUGAAGACCCGACGCUUGAACCGCACGUUGCCGUACUUGCAGUACUCCGUCGCGCGGCGCCACCGACUCGUGCGAGGGCGUGCAGCGUUCUCUUCCAUGGCCGGAGGUGGACUAGUUGGCUGCAAGUAGAAGUGCAAUAAGUGCAGCAGGUGGGAUGGCAGCGGCGUCAGAGGCGGAGCCGGCCGCCGGUGCUCGCUGAUGUAGAGCUGUGCCUGCAGCACCUCCUGGACAUAACCUGCUAUGGGUUUCAGGACGGAGCUGGUGGUGGUAUCACCUGUGACGCGCUCAUGGAUCUUCUGUAGCACGAAGAAAGGUAUCUGGUUAUCAGCGAGGAAGACGGUGUCGCGCACCACCGUGUUGUUGUGGACGCCGCAGUAGCUGGUUAUUAUUCGAUUUGGUGUUUGCGUGGACGACUCUAUCGCAUUGUUGGUACCAUGAGGGGUGCCAUUAUUAACAUUAUUUUCAAUGGUUUCUUGAUCAUUUCCUGUUUCUGUUGACGCCGUUGUAUUGUUGCUCGAUGCAGGCGUCCCAUGAUCUGAGGCGCCACUGUUUUCUUGAUCACUUCCUGUUGGUGUGGACACCGCUGCGUUGUGGCUUGAUGCAGGCAUCCCAUGAGGGGCGCCACUAUUGACAUUAUUUCCACUAGUUUCUUGAUCAUUUCCUGUUGGUGUCAAUGCCGUUGUAUUGUUGCUUGAUGUAGGCGUCCCAUGAGGGGUGGUGCCACUGUUGACAUUAUUUCCACCACUUUCUUGAUCAUUUCCCGCUGGUGUGGACGCCACUGCGUUGUUGCUUGAUGCAGGCAUCCCAUACGAGGUGUCAUUGUUGACAUCAUUUCCACCCUUGUAGUCCACCAUGCAACAGAGCAGGUAGCACCCAUCAUGCAGCAACAUUGUCCACAACUGUUCCGUCGUCAUGUGGCCCACCCGCCAGCCGCUGGGAUAGAAAGCCCUCACUAGGGGUUCCAGUUCCUCCUUUAGAUCCUCAAGACCACCACCUGAUCCCCUUUGCUGCUCGGAGAGCUUCCGAAGGUGACUUACAGAAUUCUUCUUCUCCUUUUCAAUCCCUGAGGACGGGAACAUGUCAUGGUAAGGGCCGAUCGGCACGUCGUGCGGUGUGUAGCUGUUUUCGUCGAUGACACUGAGUUGCUUUCGGACCUUAGGGAUGACUAUUAUGCUGGCCUGCACCCCUGUCCCUGCUCCCCAAGCAGUAAAAGAAAAUCAGUAAAUAAAAAUUAUCGCACUCGCCAAUAAAUAUCUGAGACGUCAACAAAUUUCGGCAGCAUUUUUUCUCCUUAAUUUUUUUUGGCAUGAUUUCGCUAGAAACUGCAUCUAAUCCAUCAUAUAUUAUAAUUAUAUAUAUAUAUAAUAAUAUGACAAUAAAUCACAAGUUCAACACAUACAUAGGCUCAUCGCACGGAAUUGGAGUAAAUCGAAGUUAUCAGAUCCCACUUAUAAAUAUGAAAUUUUGAAAACAUCACAAAAGAAUUUUCUCCUACCCGGCCCCAUGUCUCUACUGGAGGUAACAUCGAGCAUUUCGAUCCCAGAACUAAUUUGUCCACCACAGCCACCGAUUUGAAAAUUACAAAAAGAAAUACAGAGUUCUUUAAAUGUAAGAUCAUCACUAUACUAGAUUGCUAGGUAUGACAAGGAAAGCUAUAAGAUUUCAGCUAGAUCUUUCGUCUCUAUGACAUCUAACCACUACUUGGGUAUAGAUGCAAUAUGAGAGAAGACUAUAUGUCGUGCUGUAGGUCAUCGUACCAACUUGGAGGGCACGCACGUGCUUACGUUACUUUGUAGUGGAACUUACAUUACAUAUGUGGGUUUGAGUUCAUGCUCAUAUUUCCUAUACUUAUUCUAGGAUUUAGCCGUGCUAUUGUUUUCAUGGUAGAGGUGACAUGAGACCGUGGUCACUUUGCCAAUCUUAUAAUCUACCAAUCUAGUCUCUUGAUGGUACUCAAAUUUAUAGAUGAUCUUUAAUACUUACAUAUUUUAACAUUACUAGCCCAUGCAUAGCAUGGGUUGAUGUACUAGUAUAUGCUAGUUUCCGUAACCAGGAGGGUUAUCUUACAAUUUUAACAGAUAGAAUAUAUGCUCAUCUUCUUCCUUUCUAAUUAACUAAAAUUUCAAAAUUUAAGAUAAGUUCUUUGCCAAUAGGAUGUAUUCCUUACAACUUUAGGCAUAUAUAGGAACAAAAAGGAAGUAUGGAUGCAGGAUAAGAGAAGACUAUGUGGCAUACAAAGAACCCAUAUCUAAAAUUGAUGAUCAAGAUUUUACCAUAUGGUUCCUUUAAUUGGUUAUUGAUUGAACACACACACCUUUUGGCCUAGACAAUUUUGAAUCACUGUAUUUCAAUGUUACAGCUGAGAAGUGAUAUGCUCGGAUUAAAUGUCCAGAAACCAUUCUUAUAUAAAAUUACUUUAAUGAAUUCAUUUUGAUUUAUGCUGUCCUAUUGAAAUAAAUUAAAUAAAUAGAUCACAUAUGGAGAAGCUACCGUAAACUCUUUUAUUUAUUUUUGGGCUCUUAUAGAGCGUAUUCUAUUAUAAUUUAACUUUAGAAACUAUUUUCAUAUGGUAAAGUGAAAUAAAAUCAUAAUAAACAUUCACGAUCGAGGGGCUUGAGUUAAUUAUUAAUGAAGGAUUUAUUACUGAAACAGAUUGCAUGAGUUCACUUAAUAUUUAUAUUAACAAUUGAAAAUGAAACAAAAAUAAUGAAAUUUUAUACAAAUUAUAGUUGAACUUUAUUGUAAAAUGGGAUUAGCAAAGAUACAUUCUAACUUUAUUUUGGAAAACUUUCUCACGUACAACUAAAAAAAUUAAGUAUUUUAAACUAUAGAUCUUAAAUAAAGACAAAUAAAUUUAGCUUAUUCCAUAUAAAUGACCAAAUAUACCCAAAUCACUCUUAACAUUAAUAACAUGUCUAGGGUCUGAGGUUUUGGGAUGUUAUAGGACCCAUACCACUUGGCUCCGUUCGUCUUUCUCUUGUGCUAGUAUCUGCCAUAAUCUGGUCCAUGUCAUGAGUUAUAUCUGAAGUCCCUGCAUGUCCUCAUCACAUUUAAUCAGGUGGUAGAAUAAGUAUGAACCAUGCAUUGGUCUAAUUCCAUAUAAAUGACCAAAGGUACCAAAUUUGUACUUAACAUUAUUGAUAUGUCUAGGGUGAAGUUUUGGGAUGUUAUAGGAUCCAUACCACUUGACUCACUUCCUCCUUCUCUUGUGCUGGUCUCAGCGAUAAACUGGUCCAUGCAACGUUUAUAUGUGAAGGCCCUGCAUGUAAUAUCAGAUUUAAUUUAAUCUGUAAGCAUGCAUUGAUGGUCUAUUUGAAUUCCAAUAAAUUUAAUUAUUUACAACCUUUUGACAUUAACAUAUAAAAACAAGUGGUCUGCUAGGUUUGCUUGCAACAUUUACAAAGCCAGAGUUAAAUUUCAUACACUACUAGAAAUAUGACCUCUUGUCCCGAGCAUUUGUACCGGUUAAGUUUGGACCCGGUUCCAAGUUUGGGAGCUUCUGGAGGCCCUCUAGUACCGGAUGGGAGUUCCAACCGGUAUUAGAGGUCACCCUCUAGUACCAGUUGAAGCCCUGACCCGGUACUAAAGGGUGAUCUCUAGUACCGGAUGGAGCAAACACUUAUAUUUUUUUAUCUCCUGUCCCCCGACCGUGCGGCGCGCCCCUAUCUUAUCUCUCCUCAUCCGCUCCGCCUCCCUCAUGUUCCGUAUGUCUCUCUCCUCUAUCUCCUCUCUCUCUCUCUCUCUCUCUCUCUUCCUCUUCCUAGCUCCUUGUGCUCUCACCGGCAAGCCCCUUGCCUCCCCUCCCCUCCCCCCUCCGCUCGCCCCUCACCGGAGGAGGUGAGGGGCAAGCAGCGGCCGUGCAGGAGGAGCGGGGCGGAGCCACGGCGGUGGGGCGGGCGGAGGCGGAGGAGCAAGCAAGGAGGCGGAGUGGCAAUGGAUGUGGAGGGGAGGCAGGGGUGGAGGCCGGCUGGGGUGGAGGGGUGGUAGAGGGAGGCCUAGGCCAGUGGCGGGCGGAGGGGCGGGCGGGGCCGACGGGAAGCGCAGCGGGGGCCUCCGGCGGGGCAGCGGGGGUGGGGGGCGGGGCCGGUGGGGCGGCGGGGUGAUUUUCUUUUUUUUAAUUUUUUAUUAAUAAUCUCUAGUACCAGUUAUUCCAACCGGUACUUAGAGGACCCCCUCUAUACUAGUACUGAUUGCCUAGUACCGGUUGUGCAACCAGUACUAGAGGGGGUUUCUAACCGUUAUAAGAGGCGUUUUUUCUAGUAGUGAUAUUGCCAAAAUGUACGUUAAACAAAACUGGGUCAAAUAAUUUUAUCUAGUGAUUGGCUUUCUACAAAAACAAAGAUUUAGCUAGUAUUUUUGUCAAUGCAAAGUUGAGCAGGCCAAGAUUUUGAGAGCCACUAAUGGAGAACCAUUUUUUGACUUCUUUCAAAAUAUAACUGUAAGGGAGGCCCCAACUAUAUAAAUGUGGAGAACAAGGUUUGAACCUUGAUGGGUGGAGUCGUGCACCUGCCACUCCACUACCGCACGAAGUGGUGGUUCCCAGACAAUUUUUGUAGGCAAGAUAAAGUCGAAGUUGCUAUGUGUAUGAAGGUCAUAUCAGCUUGAAUUUUUAGUCCAAAUAAAGGUCCUAUCUUGCUCCUUUUAAUUAACUAAAAACAAGCUAAGAACUUUCGGCCAGAUACAUCACCUAGAUGAUGACAUGUUUCUGUUUUCCUAUAAAUGAAAAGGAACAAUUGAAUAUAAAUGUUUCUAUUGGCUGGUACAAUACAAAGUAAAAUGGAGAAACAUGAACAUUAAUUUCUCUCUGCAAGAAAAUUAAAAGUAACGAGGAAGUAUUCAGUAAAUUUUAGACCUGGAAAUGGUGUUAGCAUCAUUUUUUGCAAGCCAUUGAUGGACUAUCCUUCAUGUGCCCAGCGCUUUGCAAUGGGCACUUCAGUUAGUUCCCAAAUUAAAUUGAUAUAUUUGAAUCAAUAAAAUCAAUGAACUUCAUUUAAAAAAUAAUUCAGCACAAAAAAUGUUCCUUACUCUAUAUUAAAUAUAGAUACAAAUAUUUUGCUUCGUAUCUUAUCCUUACACUAGACAUCCCAUACUCCCCCCUGUUGAUAUUCAUUGCUAAAUUGACUUUUAUAAAACUCUAUGUGUGUGUGUGUGUGUGGGGGGGGGGGGGGGGGGGGCGCUUGUUUGCUUGUUUUUUUGAAGGAACCUCUUUCCAAUUCUAACAUGCCAUCACUGACUUUUUGAUGCCUCUGCACGGGUGCCAAAGAAGGUUCGGGUCCCUUAACUGGAACAAUUUCUUUUGUUUUCACAAUCACACAUUCUUACAAAAUUGCUCAAUUAAAGGGUUUAGCCAUCCAAGGAAAGAAGGAGAAAAAGCUUCAUUAACUUGUCUAAAAACUAUUUCACUUUUUUUAUUAAAAAUUAUUGUCGAUAAUGCUUUCUUACGGAAACUCUACUAAUCUAGAGAAGUAACCGCAUCACAAAAGAUUCCGUUUUCCUGUGACAUUUGUGUCUUUGGACACUCAUGGGAAUCCUCAGCCGGGGAUUUAAUCACAUACUGUACAUAGAUAUAGUUCCCUUUGGUUUAAUUUGCAUUGGACAUAAACAUAACAAUAUUUUAUUUGUGGGAGCGCUACGAUGACAACGUAGCUUUCUUUUCCGGACAAAAUAUAGAUGUUGUAAAAAGAUGAUUGAGAUUUGGUUGUGACUUUCACAUGACAUGAUCAAAUGAUCGAAAUGUAGGAAUACCUCUUGCAUGGGGUGUACAAUUGAGAUAUUUCCAUAUGCGAUUGAUGUUAAGAUCUAACUAGCUAGUUGGGAGAAAUAGGCGGCUCUUCUUUAAAUUUUGUUUCUACAUAAUCGUGUCCCACUUGGAAUUCCAUGAAAUCAAAAUCAAAAGUUUACAUUAUUUACCGUACCCUGAAAACAGUUAGAGUAAAUAAACCACACAUCUUAAUAAUCUUCUAAAACAGGCAACAUCGCUAAAAAAUGAACUGCACAAUAAUUCUCUACAAUAUCCUAAUAAGCACAGUUAAUGCAUGCAGUACAUAACUGAAAUUGACGAUAUUUACUUGUUACCUUGCGCCAUUGCACUCGGCAGUGGACGACACUCUCAAUGCAAGCUACCUUAGCUUGAUCGCUACUGACCCCGGCCGUCUUUGUGAUUGAUAUAGUAGUGCUGUCGUUGGUUGUUACGGAAGGUCCUUAUAUACUAACCCAGCACAACAUGCAUUUAAUUACAUAUGUAAUUUGUCCACAUGAGCCGAAACAAAAAGGUGAAAGCAUGUGCAAGCACGAGGGCGUGCCUGCGAAUAGACCGGAGCAACUGACAACAACAGCAUGCACAACCGGACUAGAAUGUGGCCGGCGGCCGGCUUUAUUCCGUUUGCCAGGCCGUUUAGCCCGCUUUUGCGUAACUAAUUAUAUGGACUAGAUCUCGUUCGUCCAGUCAUUCGCGUUGACGACCCCCAUUAUUGGUCGUGCUCUAACCAUAACCUAUGCGUGUGGUCCAAAAAAAGUUGUUUUGUGAAAUCAAGGCAUGCAUACCUGGCCCUCACGUAUGGCAAAAGGCCGAAAUCUGAAUUCUGAAAGUGCACACCAGUUUCGCUAUUACGUACGUACUUAGGCCUCUCUGGAGAAACUCCCGCCAAAAAUCACAAGAGUACGUAAGAAUGCUUCAUGCAUGAAACCAUGUAAAAUCAUUUUCAGACUACACGUUUUUUUUUAAAACAAGAAAAAGGCAAAUUAGAUUACGAGUAGUGUUAUUAGAACAUGUUUUCCUAUUCCAGUGGCAAUAUAAAGUCCGAUGCGACUACCUCCCUUUUUUUUUAUCUUGCGAAAUAAAUUGAGUUUCAACGAAAUUUUGCCUGCGCGGCGUGAAGGCCGCACCAUCGUCGUAGCCGAUUGGGUUGGCUGGUUGGCCUGGGGCUCCUAUCUGGCUCGUGGAAGCCGAUAGCAGCCAUGGCUUAGAGCUUAAUACCUAACUUAGUUUCUCAGUUGGUUCAUUUUCUGCAACAUUUUCUCUCAAUUGGUUCAUUUUCUGCAACAUUUUCUUCAACCUCGUCUAUUGUAGCAUUUGCAAAGGUACCACCUUGAGCCUACUUUGGAAUGUUGUUAUCAUCACAAUCUUCUUCUUCACCAUCUUUCAUUACAACUCCUCUUUCACCGUGCUUGGUCCAAAUAAUAUAGUUAUCUAUGAAACCCCAACGAUAUAUGUGGCUGUGUAGAGUGUUUUUGUUGACACCUAUUUUUGACCAAAGUCAACCACGGAAGUCAGAGUCCCGGAGCCAAUACAGCCAAGAAAGACCGAGAUGAAAGAGACUCCACCGGAUAAGGGAAAUAUCGUGGAGAUGUAUUUUAGGAAGCUUUAGUUUUACUUUUUAGAAAUAACUUUAAUAGUCAUUGUCGUAAUCGACUAGGACUUGGUACGUGCCAGGGUCUAAAUAUAAACCCAAGGCGUUGUAAUCAAAGAAUCAACAAUCAAUCAAUACAACAGUUCUUUUUUUUUGGCGCCCCACCGCCAAACCUUAGGAGUAGAAGUAGAGUAAAAUCAGCAAGUUCUUCUUUCACGUAGGGCUGCAUCGGCUUCGAUCUUAGGCGAGCUUGUAAGUACCGUCACACAAUCAUUACAUUACCUGUAUCAGAACUUUCUUGGUUAAGUCUGAUCUAUUCUCUUAGUGUAGGGCUAGUUAUCGAGUCACCUACAAUCGAAUAGGGCCGCAUUGUUUCAAUCUUCUGUUUGCCUUCGAAGUGCUCACAAUUAUUGAGUUGUUUGGUUUAAUUAAGUUGUAUCUUAUCGAACUGUUAGUUAUAUCAAGCGCUCACAGUUAUCAGGUUGCUUAGAUUUGAUUAGGUAUCUUCCGCAUCGGCUUCCUAGUUGUUUCUAAGCGCUCACUAGUUAUCUGAUCAUAUCGGCUAGUCUAUUUUUGCAUGCUUUAAUUGCUUUAUCUUUACUAGAUCCGAUAGAUCUUUACCCUCACCCCUCACAUUACCAACUGUCGGAUCUUUAGUAUUAGACCGCUGUUGUGGAGUCGAUGCUGUCUCGGUUAGGUCCAAUCCAUCCAUCCUAGCGGUAGUCUGAUGCUAUCGAGCUAAUGGCCACAUGCGUGAGGCCUUGUUAUUACUUUUUAGUCUUUUAAACCAUAAGAACGAGUUAAUGCCCUAUGUUUCCAUGCUGUCUCGAUUCAGUUUGAUCCAUCGAUUCGUGACAUUAAUUAGCUCCAACGGUCUAAUCAGCUAGAAUGCAAUCGACAAGUUAUCUCUUAAUGGCAACUGCCUUACCUUGGAUUCAUCUUAGCAUGUUUUCUCAUAUAGCCGAUGGCACAUGCCAUUAAAAUUAUCUAUUUUACUUGCAUCACAUGAUUACAUCGAAUACAUCUUACUGGUGUUUAUUCAAAGAAUGCCAACCCAUGAGUUCGAAGGCUUCGCCGCCUAUCUGCUCAGGAAUUCCUAGUCAAAUUGACUAGCCCGCCACACACCUACGGGAGCCAAUUUGGAGCCUGCACUAGAGUUAAGCAGAUCUCCCAGGUCCUCACAUGUUGAUCGACGUAGAGCCUAAAGCCUAGAUUUUGCAUCAACAAUUUUUUAGAGUGAUCCAUGUUAUUUUUGCAGAUUCUUCGCAUUAGUAUCGGCCCAAAGUCCAUCCGGUACUAACAUCCACUACAAGAAAUCUUCCAGUUUAUGAAGAUAAUUUUACAUCUCAGCAAAUUUAGUGAUAAAGUUACAGAACGUCAUAAAAGUUGCCACCCAAGCUAGAAAGAAAAUAUCGCUAGUUGUUACAUGGUGGUUUUGUGAUGAUAUAAGGUUUGUGAAAACAUCAUAAACCAACCUAGGUCCCAAAUGUAAGCAUUUGUUGAAAAAUAAGGUGUGAAAAAUUGUCAUUAACCAAGGGGGUCCCUCAUGUAAGCAUGAGUUGAGAAAUAAGGUGUUCCAAUUUGUCAUAAAAUGUCACACCCUAAAAUUUUUGGAUAUUAGGAUGUUAUUAGAGAUAAAAGUAAAACAAUGAUUUUCUCAAAAUUUUAAAAUUUCUCCAACAUUUAUUUUCUCGAUAAGAAAUUUAGUAUAGGAAAAUAUUAUUUGUUUUCUAAAUUAAAUUAAUAUGACCUAAGGUUGUUCCGUGCGUGUUGCAUUGACGCUGAUGCAUUGUGAUGUUUUAUGAGUUAUGCAUUGUGGUGUUUUAUGAGUUUAAUAGUUUUAAAAUGUGUUUAGGUGCCGAUUAGGCCUUUAUGAGAAUUUUCUAGAUUUUUCUGGGAUUUAUUCUCAUUUUUCCUGGAGAUAAAUCUAUUUAUUUGAAAGCUCUAGAAUCUUUAUCAGGAGUUCCAAAUAUUUUAUUUAAACUCUCGUGUCCCCAACUAUCUCGGGGAUUUUUCCUAAAAUUUUUGGGAUUUUUGGAUAUUUUUUUGCUUUAGGAACAUUAUCUAGAAUUUUUUGGAUUUGUUUUCUCUAAAAAGUUAUAUUCCAAAAAAUAAUAAAACCCUAAAUCCUUUUGGGCUGAUCCAACGCUCUAGACCAUAACAGACCCGAUACGGUUUCACCUGAUCCGGCCUCCCCCUCCUGAUGGUGGGCCCCACCUUUUUCCCUCGGACCGAGCAUGCGAGGCCUGGUCCAGAUGUGUCCGGCCAAGCUAAGCCCAUCUGGACCGAUCGCCCAGCAGCAGCUCGAAGCUGAGCGCUGUAGCCAAGCUCCGCAUUGGCAUGCGCACCACAGCCGACCUCGUGUGCUAUGCCUAUUUAAGGUGAGGUCGAGCCCCACUCGCCCUUCGGCUGCUCCUGCACCGUCGAGCAAGCCGCCAAAGCUGAGCACCGCUGCCGGAGUUGCUCCCCAAUUCACCAUGUCCAUCGUCAAUUGGAGGAGACCAUCGCUGCCUGGAGCCUCGCGUCGUCGAGCCACAUCUAGUUGACCCAUCCUCAGUGCCUGUCAUUCGCCGUAGCACCACCACCGUGUGAAGAACCGGGCCGCCGCCAUCCUCCGACGCCGGGCCAAUUUCGAGCCGCAUCAGCACCUCUCUGCCGCCGGUGAGCACAUUCGCAGACUCCCCUCCAUCUCCUCUAUCUUGUGUGCCAGCGACUUGAACCCCUAGCUCGACGAAUCGCCAGCCAUGCUCGGCGUUCAAAGCCAGCAUCCAUGGCCAGAGCUCUUUGAGCUUUUGCAAUUUAUACCCUGAGAUGUCAUGUUUUUGUUUCAAAACUUGUUGUGCCUCGAAAAGUUUGUAGAAAACCCCCUGAAGUCUUUUUGAACCCUAGAUCGAGCCCAACUCUGAUCUUUCUGCUAGCACCGAGUAAAACAUGGAGUCUAGGGUUAAUCAUGACUAGACCCCUAAACCUUGUUUAGUUCAUAGAAUCCAUGUUUUACUCGGUUUAUAUCCUACGUGUUAGAAGCAAUUUUAAUCAUGUUCUCUAUUUUUAAAAUUUAUUUAAAAUAUUAAUAUGAUUAAUUGCUUAUAGACUUGCUUUUAUAAUUAAAAUCUAAUUAGAGUUCUACCUCAUGUUUUUCAUAUUAAAGUUAAUUUCAUUAAUGUUUAGUUUACAUGCUUUUCUGAAUAAAAGCUAAUUAGGUUAUAUAUUGGUUUUUCAUAACCUAAUAUCGAUUUAUUAAUGUUCAAUACUGAAUCAACUUUUCUAUAAUAAAAGUUGGUUAGGCUUUUACACCGACUUUUAUAAAUAAAUAUUUACUUGAUUAAUGUCAACGCAAAUAUGUUUUUAAUAACAUUUAGAUGUUUCACCUCGUUUAGCCUUUUUAAAGUUAAAUGCUGAAAUAGUAUAAUUUAUACUUCAAUAUUUAUAAUUAAAAUAUAGUUAGGUUAUAACUCGGUUUUUAUUAAUCAUUGAUAAAAUGACUAAUGUCAAUAUGAAUCUAUUUUCUAAAUAAGGUUUAUUUAGUCCAACAUGACAUAUGUGUAAUUCGAUUAGCUGUUUUCACAUUUCUAAAGUUAAGUGUGUAAUUGAUAUAAUUUAUAGAUGAACAUUUAUAAAUAAAACUUGAUUAGGAUUUACCUAGUAGUUCUAUAUCUACAUGAGUAGUUUUGUGCUGCUCAUUUCCCUAUCAAAGUAGUCUUAUCAUGCUGUUUCCUGUUCCUCUUAAAAUCAUGUUAGCCAGCUCAUAGCUAUUCUUAGUUGUCCUUCUUAGUUGUCUCUUUUUGAGUCAGCUACGUUCUUUUAGUUCUUUGUGGCCAAAUUUUCGCAGCCAUCUCAGUAAAACCAGUCUUGUUAGUUUGUUUCUCUACCGACUAAUUCAGUUUAGCUUUGACUAGUUUGUUGUCCAUGCAACCUAGUUGUUCUCUUUGUAGAUUAGUUUCUCCUAAACCAUAGUGUAAGCUUUUCUUCCAUGCUAGUCUGUUUUCGUUGUUCUUGUUCGUUUCACCUUAACUUGCAUUACCAAUGUGUCUUACUUGUUGCUUGUUUUUACAUCAAAGUAAUUGACAAUUUGACUAAUACCUAUUAGAACCAGUUUUCUAAUUAAAAGUUUACUAGUUUUAUAACACGGGUUUUCAUAUAAAAUGUUAACUUGACUAAUUCUUGUUCAAUUAGUUUUCUAAAUAAAAGUUGAUCAUGUUCUAUCCCGAUUUUCCUAAACUGAUUUAAUUGAUUAAUUCCUAUUUAUAACUAGCUUUUCUAAAUAAAAGAUACCUAGUGUUAUACAUCGAUUUCAAAAAUAAAGUUAAUAUGCUUAAUGCAACAUUCCUCUUUUUAGAGCAUUUAAAAAUACGGAUUUUCUAAAGUUUUUCUUUAAACUAAACCUGAUCCCUUUUCCCAAACAUUCAAAACUCUUUUUGCAAAUAAAACUUGCAUGAAACGACAGCAUAUGUUUUGCCUUAGGAAUAUUUCUUUCCUCUAUAUAAUAUCUGAAUUUUAUCCAAUUAGUAAUCCUAUUUAAAUCCUAUGAUAACUUCCUUUGAAUAUUACUCAAAUAUAAUAUUCAAACUCUUGACCCGUCCUCUCAUCAUUAAAGUCCUAGAAACCUUUUCAAAAUAUUUCUUUCCCUAGAAACCAUAAAUUUAAUAUUCAAUUAUUAUUUGAAUAUUAAAUCUAUUCAAAUGUCUAUUUAAUAUUUAAUAUUCAAAUAUAAUUUACGAUGUUUCGAAGUCAGCCACCUCGAACCUGAUCUAUUCUAUCCGGUAGUGUUCUUUGGUGCCAAAGGUAACUAGCAAAACAACUUGUCCGAGUGGUACAGCCACAUUGCCCGGGGUAAUCCCGUACAAUGGAGAGUUCGUUCGGAUGAGCACGUUAGUGAUGCCGAGGCCCAUCUUCCUCAAUUGGAGCGGUCUGACUAUCCCUAGUCUGAGUAGAAUCGAGGAGUCCUUGUUGAUUACAACUUGUAAAACGGUUUUCUUGUAGAGCAAGACCUCCCCACCCUAUAAAUAUAAAGUGCCAUAGUCGAUUGAGGGCAUCCAAUGCAAUCAAUCAAAUACCAAUCUAUCUUUUACUUUUACCUUUUUUCCUCUUUGUCAUACUUUUCCAAUCCCAUGUGCUGUUCUUCUCCUAUCUCCAUUGCAUGAGGAGGUGCCCUAGCUGGCCUAUCGAGCCUUAGGCAACCCAAGGUGCGCCUGCCCUGAAGGGAUCCCUCUCGGGUGGGCGUUCGCUUGAUCCUUGCCGGGCUCCCUGGCGAGACCGGUAUGAUCAACCUGCCUUAUCGGUCUGACUAGCCUCUGCAUCAACGCAACAAGAAGCAUCUUUGUGGGCUGCACGUUCAGUGCUCAAGUGUUUGGCGUGACGCGCAUCAACAAUCCCUAUAAGAAUCUGUGUGUUUGCUUUUGUGUUUUGUUUACAGAGAGAAUCUGCAUGUGUAUUCGUGUGUGCUUUGUUUAGCUAAACGCCUAAGCUAUAUUGGUUAGUUCUUAAUUCUACAUGCGAGCUGUCAGCACUCAGCACCCUUUACAGGGAUGUUUGCUUUUGUUUUAAAAUUGGCCGUGGUUUGGGAAGUGCCCCUCACAUGCUACUCAAUGGAGAUGCGCUCGUGCCCUUUCUCUCUAGAUUCGCAAUGGAGAUUUUUCUAUCAAGAAGGGUAUGCAUUUGAGGAUGCAACACGUGAUGAGAUUCACAAAAAGGGAAAUUAGUGACUACUGAGUGUUCUAAGUUUCGGAUAGGUGGUUGAUUGAUCAAGAAGAUCGGCAAUACACAUACAUAGAUAUGAAAAAAAACUUGUUCAUAGGGAAAUAUAAACUUUUAUUAGUUUAUAAAUUGGUUUUGCUAUUCACCAGCCGGAUGGAGAAAUUACAAAACCUUUUUUUUCUUUCAUUUGAUUCAAUUCAAGUGGAUCAACAAAAAAUAUGGAUCAUUUGAAAAAAGUGUCCACACGUUCAAAACUACCCUGACGCUUCCCUUUGGAUACAAGCCUGAAAUAAUGGCCAUGCCUCAUAUGAACCAUAUGGCCUGUGCAGUAGUCAUGGUUGACGACAUGGCUCCACUGCCAAGUUAACAUGUUCAAAGCUUAAGCAUACAAAUACACAGGAAAAAUUCGUGUAUUUUGUUGUGUGUUCGACAGAUUCUAUAUAUAGGCCAGCCCUAUGGACCUUGGGUGCUGGCCACACAGGCUAGUAUCUCCAUAUUGCCGUGGAGACCCUAGCCUAUAUAUGUAACCCCGAUACUUUGCAUCAAUCAAUCUAUUAUUUACGAGCCAUAUUGCUUUCAUUGUGGAUAUGGAAAACUCACUACUAUAGACGAGCCCUUUGCCACUAGGCUAUCACCAGUUUUGGGUGAACUGGUGGUGAUAGCGUAUCACCACCAGUCUGUCGUCCGUUCAUCUAUCUAUGAUCCCACCAGAAGGUUUGGACAGUCCUAGAUAUGGGGCUGUACACCGAGAUGUAUCAGACAUGGAGACUAUGGUGCAGGACGGCGUGGUCUACGUGGAGGAUAAGAACUAGAUGAAGAUUAGGAAACUACUCGUAGUAAAUAGAGUAGGUCUCUCUAAUCGAAUUGGACUAGUAUUCUUGUAAACAACCGACCUGUAACCCUGCACCCAGCAAUAUAAGGCGUGGCAGAGACCCCGUACAAACAACUUCAAUCCAUUACAAUACAACCAACACAGGGCGUAGGGUAUUAUACUAUUUAGCGGCAUGAACUUGUUUAGAUCAUGUGUUCGAGUUCACCAUCGAGUUCCUGAUAUCGGCGAGCCCUAUGCACUAAACACUACCUCGGGCACCUCCUGGAUAGGUUGCCGAGUCUAAAUACCGACAGUCGGCAUGCCAAGUAGGGGAUCUCGCUAAAGAUCCACCAGCGAACUCAAUAGCUCAAGUCAUCAUCAAGCCCACCAUUGCGUUCGAAGUGAUCGUGGCAUUCAUCUUUGGCUCUUGGGUUUGCAUCGUAGAUGGUGUUGGAAACUUCCACCGCCACAUUAUGCCGGCCCCAGAGGAGAAGCAGUACAACAUCAACCUUCAUCGCCAAGCUUUAGAGGAUUUCAUCAAAAAAUUCAACAAAAUUUUCGACCUAUUUAGAGGCUUGCAGGACGAGUCCGAGUACAACUCGACUUCUCCCACUAGUCGGAUUGGUUCCCACGAGCUGGCGCUUAAGCCAUCGUGUGAAUCGGUCUACAAUACAAGUCAAUUUGCGUUCGAACUCCAAAACUCGGGUGCUGUCUACCAAGACACCCAAUCCAGAUCACAAUUCAACUCGAAUUUGUUCAAGGACCUCAACUACUACUCAGAUUCGGAUGAGGAGACUCCAUUAUCAGGUACACAACAAGGCCUGGUUAUCACAUCUACUCCACAAGGCAGAUUCGUCUACUGACCAUGAAGCCACCUGCUCUCGCCAAGGACGACGAGUCAUGCCUUGUUGUCUACCUCGACACUAUCCCGUACCAGGAGGGAACCCCUCUAUCGCCCAUCUACAAAGAAGGCGGCUCCACAGAGAUCAUCACGUCAAGUUUGGGUAGUUUUCUCCGAAGCGAGAACUCUUCGCCCUCUUGACCACAUGAGAAGGCGAUGGUGAAGAACCACCGGAAAGGAAUCCAUGAUGCAAACAUCACCUAUAUGACGUGUCACAGGAUGAACUUACCACCAAUGUAGAAGGAGAAGAAACUAAAGCUCAAAGGAAUCGAUGGUGAGCAAAAAACGCUGCAAGAGCAGAGCGUCGCUGCCACCUUGCAGCUGAACUACCCAUCAUGAACUUGGAUCACGCGUUUGAAGCAGUUCAUUGACCUGAUUACUUGGGCAAUGCCACAAACCAUGUACACCAUGCAACUGGCUCAGCUGGUAGAGCACACAUACAGGCAACUCGAUCAACAAAGCCCAAUACAUUUGGUUUGACACGCCUCAUCCCAGCAUGGCAGUAGCCAUAGACGACCAAUUCAAAAUGAGGGUGCCAGAAUUGAGGAUGCUAGACCAAGCCAAAACAGGGCAGAGGGUAGUUGGUCGGAACCCUCAAGAGGUUGCGGCCGCCAUGGGCCCUACCUAGAGCCUGAAACCUAGUACAUGGCCUCCGUCAGAAGAUCAACAACAGCCGCGACACCCGUACAAUCAUUGAAGGGCACCGCCAUGAGCGUAAACGAGAAGUUGAGUACUUGGGAGAUGAUUCUGUGGGUUCCCCACCUUCUCAAAAUGAGCAUGAAAGAUGGUUCUACCCGACAAAUUCAAACCUUCGGGUAUCACCAAAUAGGACGGCAAGCAGGACCCAGUCCAAUGGCUGCGGUGCUACUCGUUGUUAGUUCGGGUAGCGAGAGGAAACGACGACACCAAGGUCAUUUACUUCCCCAUCUGCAUGGAGGCAGGACCACUCACAUGGCUCAAAUCCCUAGAGAAGAACUCCAUCGACACGUGGAAGCACCUAAAGGUGGCAUUCACAAACAACAUCGCAGGGGCAAUGCAACGUCCUAGCAAUAGAAUCGACUUGUCUCGAGUGAAACAACAACAAGGGGAGACCCUGCGCAGUUAUCUACGCCGUUUCUUUGACAAGAAGGCCACUAUCAUGGACAUCACGGAGCGUGACAGCAUAGAUUGCUUCCAGAAUGGUCUCUAUGACUGUCGGAUGUUCCAAGAUUAUUACAGGAGAUGCCCGAAAGAUAUCAAGUCUCUCAAGAUCAUGAUUCAAGCCUAGGCAGAUGAAGAAGACAAGGAGAUCGAGAGGUUCAAGUCUAGUCAUAACAGGGGCUAGAACAAUAACAAUCAGAGUAGUUUUUCGUUGCAAUAUAGACCAACAUUUUGCAAUGGAAGUCAAGAUUACAGCAACACAUGAAAUUCAUGACAAUAUUAUUAAUUAAUCACAACCAUUUUGUAAAUGGUGGCAAUAAUAGCUACCUCUUGCAACGAAAUUCAAGAUUAUUGCAACGGAAGAUAUUUGUCACAAUAUUAUUGACGUUUUAUCAAAAUGGUAGGAAUAACACCUAUCUAUUGCAACAAAUUUUAUGUUGUUGCAAUGUGUUCUGAGGCAAUAGUGUAAAAGUCAAGUAGAGAUUUCGAGGUUGGUGCCUAGCAGCCCUUUAAAUUCUUAGCUUGUUUAUUUGGCUAGAUUUUGUAAUUUGGCAUGAAUUUGAUGGAGAGGUUCCCUUCCUUCAUUUUAGAGGCCAUUUUUGAAGGUUGCUUAUCACUACCUUGUUUGAACGUUAGUAUCUUGCCACUUUUCCAUGUACAUUUAGUUAGAUUGUUGCAAAACUGAGAAGAAUGUGAUGGAGAUGCUCUUUCUUGAUUCUAGACCAUUUUUAGCAAUUUCUUCAUGGAUGCUCCAAAAGUUUGAAGUUAGCACAAAAAUUCACAUGUUUUAUGGUUAGUAUAUAUGUAGCCUCUUUUGUAAUUGUUAGCUUGUAUGCUUUGCCUAGUUAGAUUGUUGAAAAAUGAGAAGAAUGUGAUGGAGAGGCUCUUUCUUGACUCUAGGCCAUAUUUUGAGCAAUUUCUUCGUGGAUUGAAUAUCAUUCUUGUGAUGUUGUUCAACUAUGGAUUGAGGAUGGAUGCACAGUUCAAAGGUGAGACAGAAGUCUUUUGUGAAGGCCGCCAAGGCGUACAUCACAAAUAGGAUUUUGUAUGUCACAUUUGCUUCCAUCUAAUCAUAUUCCACUGGUGGAAAACUCGCAUUUAAUCCUGAUUGGUAGGGAGAAAAUCUCCCGAAAAUCCAUUCGGGAUAAAGCAAUCGAGACAAGGGGAGGUCUUUAGUCCCGGGUUACUCAACCGGGACUAAAGACCCCCUUUAGUCCCGGUUGGUAAAGUCAACUGGGACUAAAGGGGCUGUCACGCUAGGCACAGCCCCCACCAACCUAGACUAAAGGAUUUUGUGCUAAAAAAAUAUUAGAAAUUCUCAAGAGCCCCCCCCCCCCCACACACACGUGACGUCGCAAGUCACAAGUCACGUAAUUUUUCAGAUGAAAUAUGCACGUGCGCGAUGCAUGGGAUUCAAACCCACGACCUCAAGCCUCGCGCGUAGCUUCUUACCAUCCCACCUACACAGCACAUCUGACUAUAUAGGAGAUGCAAUCUUUUUGUAUUAACUCGUGGGGAACCCUUUAUUAGUCUCGGUUUGUGUUACCAACCAGGACAAAAGACACCCUUUAGUCCCAGUUGGUAACACAAACCAAGACUAAAGGGUCUGAGGGUUUUAGUCCUUUUUCAGCCACCCGUGGGAAGACCCUUUAAUCCCAGUUAGUAACACCAACCGGGACUAAACCCUUUAGUCUCGGGUGGUAACACCAACUGGGAUUAAAGGGUGACCUUUAGUAUCGGUUGGUCUUACCACCCGGGACUAAAGGAUCUCCCACAGCUAGUUGAUUUUUUAACCCGGGACUAAAGAGGCCUUUAGUCCCGAUCGAUAUUUGACCUGGGACUAAAGCACCUUUUGUCCCGGGCCAUCUUUAAACUGGGACAAAAGUGAAUACAUGGAAGGUGAGUUCUCUACUAGUGUUCACUCUUACUAAUGUCAAAUAGGGUCUUUGAGCGUUACCGUAAGAAAUGCAAGGUUCAUAGACCUUUUUGGACAUAUUUCUCCAUUAAGGAAUUCGAUUUCAUCCUAAGGCAGCUUGAGGGUAAUGAUCAGUGCAGGUUUUAAUUAAUUCAUUACUUGCAUCUCUACAACAGGGAUGACUUUUUUAUAGUAAAUAAGAAGGUUCUUAUGAAAACCUCCAUAAUUACAAGCAAACUAAUAUGAGUAUAUAUGAUUAUUAAAAAUCUAACUAUAUAUGUUAAUACAUCUUUGAUUUGUGUUUUGCAGAAUGGCAAGCUGUCCACUUCCGAGCUACUACUGAACCAACUAAUAGCACUUCAAGAACAACUAGCCCGAUUCAUUAUGGAUCACGUUGUCGAACCAGAUUCGGACUACUACAUUGCUUAGGGGUAAGAAGUAGCUUGUAUCAUUCUGGACAAACAUGAGAUUAGAUAGGACUCGUUGUAUGGACUUGUAAUAAUAUGCUCGAUGUAUGGACUUAUGUAUGGAUUCGUGUAUUUGAUGAAUACAUUUGGUUGCUACACACACACACAUACAUACAUACAUACAUACUGUGGCAGAACCGCCUAAAUUAACUUGGCUAAAGCACACUUAAGUCGCCUAAACGCGAUCAUGUACUUUAAACAAGUCAACUUGGUCGUCCGUCGGAUUUCCUCCGAUAAAACCACGUAACGCAGGAUCGAGAAAGCAAAACUCACACGAUGGUGAGUGGUUACAGAGAUUACAACAGUCUAUCCAGAUUAAACAAAGUGCAUCAAUUUAUUACAACAUAAAGUUCAGAAAUUCAAACAUAGUUUGUAGAGUGUUCAAGCAGCGGAAAUAAAACGAACGGAAACUAAACGUCGGUGCACGAUAUCAUGAAGAAGCCGAUCAUGACAUCACUAACCCCUGUCCUCGCCGUCCGAGGAGGGAUCCCACUCGACCGUCCAACCCGGAGGGAGCUGGGUAGACCAAGCAGAACUAGCAGCGAACUCAGAAACAUCAUCCUCACCUGAAAAGAGGUGCCACAAACAAGGCUGAGCAACUAUGCUCAACAAGACUUAACCGACCUGUGGUACUAAUCCACUAACACCUAGACAUGUAAGCUUUUUGGCUCUGGGUUUUGUUUUGCCAAAAGCGACUAGUGUAGGUCCUUACUUUCAACAUUUUAGCCACCAGUUCUACUGUUGUUUAUCAUUCUAAGUUAGCAACUAUACUAAACAAGCAUAGUUUUCUAAGCAAUUAAUAACAAGUAACAAUAUUAUAUCAUCAUCAUCUUUCAUUCUUACUCAGUGUAGCGUAGCGAUCAAGUAGUCCCACACUGUGAGAGGCAGACGAAUCGAUUCGAAUUUAUUAACCAUGCAUGGCGAACCUAAUCCCACGACAUCCGCGCACCACGAAGGGUCACUUCACUUGUCAGCCGUCCCCAUCGAUCCCUAGGUACGUGUCAGGUCCAAACUUCCUUUGGCAUGCAAUGCUCCACAGUCCCGGUCUCUACCGUACUAUGACCGCCAUUGCACCCACAUGAUGCACCAUGGGAACGACGUUCCAAGGAUAGCAGGGGUAUAAGCCACGUCCCAGUUCAAUCAGGUACUAGGCUUCCCCAUCCCAUACUAGGUAUGAGAUUAGUACUUUCAAACACUUGAUCACGAACACCAUCACCUUUCGACCUUAGUCCAAAUUUCAAGUAGACAGACGGGGCAAACCACCGAGUACCAACAUAAGCCCGGCCCCGUCCAUCAUCCUUAUAGUUGCAACAAAAAGAAAAUCAUUCAACUCCUAUAACUUGCGAGUGAUAGGAAAUCACUCGACUUUUACCGAGUCCUAUUUAGCAUUGCAACUACUCGACUUCUUAUACUAGUGUUCAGAUCAAGGGGCACUAUAUUCAUGCAUCUAUGGUUUCAAUCAAUUCCUAUAAACGUAAAUGCAUAAUCAAAACAACCAAUAUAUUGCAAGUAUUUAAAUAUAGGAAUUUAUGAUCCGGGGCUUGCCUUCACACUCGGAGUUACCGAACUGGUCCUCGGCUUGCUCUAGCACGGGCUCGACUUCGGCGUGGUGUAGAUCCGCUACAGCUUCCUCUUCGGGCGUCGGGUGUAGCUCGUAUGUACCGUCGGCGAUGUUAACUUCUACAUGAAAUGCAGGUGCAAAUGAUUCAACAUGCAAAACCAAGAGUCUGAAAGGCAUUUCAUAUAUUAUUCCUUUUUAUCUUUCUCUAAAAAGGAAAGAGGUUUUCAUUAACUUUCAAACCAAGUCUCAUAAUUUUCCUGUGAACUACACCUCAUUCCUGAAUUAUUCCAAGUGGUUUCAUAUUUUUAUCAUCUCUGGAUUUAUCAUUAUGCAAAAAGAAAAAUCUACCCGUAGAUUUCAAUUAAUAAACUAAAACAGUAACUUAAAUGUCUAAGCUAGGCUCUAAACCAUUUUUCUAAGCUUUUAUUCUCUGAAACAAACACUUGAGAGUUGGAUUUACCUUUUUAGCAUUUUCUGUUAUUUUCUAUGAUUUAAACUAGCUUAAACAAGGAUUAAAUCAUAUAACAUUAAUUCUAACAGAGACAUGUGUAAACUUAUUUUUAUAUGAAACUACACAGAAUAUUGAGUCUAACAAAAUUUAUCUUGCAUUUUUAGCAUUUUUCUACACUUUUCUAUGCCUUUUUAAACUUUCAGCCUUUUUAGAUCUAGGAAAAAAAAGAAAACCGAGGCAAUCUUCCAAUCUAGCCCUCCAGUCUAUGGGUUAAAUGCGUAGAGGCCCCUGGAUCUUGCGCCUACACCCCUGGACAAAAACCCACCUCAAACAUAAAUCCCACGACUUUCCCCAUAACCCCCUGACUUUCUUUCUUCUUCCCCACAUAGAUCCCUCACGUACAAAAGCACAGCAACGUUCAGGCAUGGCACAAAAUAUGGCGCUGGAACUUGGGGGCCGGCCGCGACAGAGGGAAAGGAAGAGCACACGGCAGGGGGAAGAGGAGAGGGGCGGCGCCUUGGGCCAGGAGUGCUCACCAGCGACGCUGCGAUGAGGAGGGACGGCGUGCAGCAGUUCUCACGGCACAGGAAGGGGGCGGAUGGGGGCUCGCGUGGAGGGGGCUGCUCGGCAAGGGAGGGAGCCUGGGAAGGGGCAAAAUGGAAGCGGGAUGACGAGGAGGCGCCGUGGCUGCAAGGAAUCGACCGGAGACUCGCUCACGGCGGUGGAUUUCGCCGGCAAAGUUUGAGCGUGGCGAGGUGCUGCGAGAGUGGGGAGGGGAGUACGGUGGGGUGGGCGAGCUAUUUAUAGCCGCGACGAGCUCGUGGGGCUGGCCGGUGGGUCGGAGGGGCGUUGGUAUGCUGCUGCGGGGUGGACCGGCCACGGCGGGCACCAUUGGCGGAUAGGGGAGGCGACUUGGCGGGCGUGCUUGCAGGCGGGCGCCGCAGGCGAAGCAGGCGUGCACGGGUGAACGGCUCCAUCAGGGCGUUGCAGGCGAGGCCGAGGAGCUGUGGCGUCUUGUCUCGGGCGUGCAUUGGCGGGCACGGCGGCGGUGGCGUGCAAGAGCGUCGCAGGGCGCGUGCGGAUAGAGCAGCAGCAGGGGGCAACUCGAUGGGGCAGCGAUGAGGAGCACGUGCCACGGGGCGGCCGGCGAGGGGAGCACGGCGCACGCGUGCUCGGCGUGAGCUCUGGUGCAGGAUUUGCGGGAUCGGACGAUAGGGCAAUCUUCGAGCGCGAUCUUCUCCAGAUUUUUGAACUGCACAACCCCUACUCCCUUUACAAAAGUUGUAGGCCUAGGAUCUAAGUUCAAUUCUUGUAAUUGUCUUGAUUUCAAAUUCGAAGCUGAAUUGAAGAUAAAACGCUUCAAAGUUUGGCAAAAUCCGAAACUUUCAGACUUGAACACUUCAGCCAUUUUUGACAGUGUUGACCAUUUUAGCUGCGUUUGACCUCGUUUUUGAAAACCUUCUGUGCAGAUUUUGGCCUAAGCCCAAAAAUCAAAGUUGUUAAGGACUCAUAGCACUAAAACUUUCAUAAAAGGUUUGUCAUGAGCAUACAUUCGAAAAUGUGAGAAAAAGGGCUCCAAAGUUCUGACUUUAUUUGAUCUGCACCUUUCGGCCCAGAUUUGUAAUUCGAUAUUUUGACUCUUUUCUGAUCAGUUUCAAGCAAAAAGCUAAUUACAAAAGUUGUUAGAAUUUGUGAGUUAUACAACUCUUAGUUAGGCAUAUUUUUAAGUUUUUGAGCAAAAAAAUUGAGUUAUGGCUUGAACACGUGUUUAGCUUGUAAGGGGCAAAAGGGGUCAUUUUACUUGGGUGCAAGGCUGUUCAUUAGUUCCAUUAAGCUCUAAUGACUUCACUUAAGCUCAAAGAAGGUAAAUUUUAGCUCGUUUGCUACAGCCUACCCCCCUUAAAGGAAUCUCGCCCCGAGAUUCGAGUGAAAGAAAAAGAACUAGUGUGGCUUGGGUAUCGUACCUCCCUGAUCGAAAAGAAAUCCGCGGAAGUGGGUAUUAAGAUACUCCUCCGUUUCCCAUGUGGCUUCGGCUUCUGUGUGAUGACUCCACUGAACUUUGAACAUCCUCAUUAUUUUGUUCCGGGUCUUCCUUUCCUUGCGAUCAACAAUCUUGAUUGGGUACUCCACAUAGGAAAGAUCCGGGUCUAUCGAUACCUCUUCUUGCUCAAUAAUUGCCGUGGGAACUCGUACACACUUCUUGAGCUGCGAUACAUGGAAUAUGUCGUGUAUAGCUGAAAGUCUGUUAGGGAGUUUAACUCUAUAUGCGACUGGUCCGCAUAUUUCCACGAUCUCAUAGGGACCAAUGUAUCGGGGAGCCAAUUUUCCUUUGAUCCCAAACCGUUGUACACCCUUAGUCGGUGAGACUCGGAGGUAUACAUGAUCACCAAUAUCAAACUGUAAGGGCCUUCUCCUUUUGUCAAAAUAGCUUUUCUGUCGUGAUUGGGCGGCUUUAAGAUUUGCCUGAAUUAUUUUAACUUGCUCUUCGGCUUCAACUACUAGAUCAGGCCCGUAGGUUUGUCUUUCUCCUGUUUGUGACCAAUUUAAAGGUGUUCGACACCUUCGACCAUAUAGGGCUUCAAAUGGUGCCAUUUUCAAGCUAGCCUGGUAGCUAUUGUUAUAGGAAAAUUCCGCUAAUGGCAAACAUUUAUCCCAAUUCUUGUCAUAAUGUAUGACGCAAGCACGUAGCAUGUCUUCUAGAAUUUGAUUCACCCUUUCUGUUUGGCCAUCAGUCUGAGGGUGAUAUGUUGAGCUACGGAUUAGCUUAGUGCCAAGUGCGGACUGUAGUUGUUCCCAAAAGCGUGCGAUGAAUUGAACUCCUCGAUCAGAGAUGAUUGUCUUCGGCACACCAUGUAGGGACAGAAUACGGUCAAGAUACAAUUCUGCAUAUUUCCGAGCGGUGUAGGUAGUGUGAACAGGAAGGAAAUGUGCCGUCUUGGUAAGACGGUCCACUAUAACCCAAAUAGAAUCAUGGCGCUGAGAAGUAACGGGUAAUCCCACAAUGAAAUCCAUGCUGAUAUCUUCCCAUUUCCAGGAUGGAAUAGGUAGCGGUUGCAAGGUACCUGCUACCUUCAAGUGGCUUGCCUUGAUACGUUGACACGUGUCGCAUUCCGAGACAUAGCGUGCAAUUUCCGGUUUCAUUCCACUCCACCAAAAUGUUUGACGGAGGUCAUGAUACAUCUUAUUGCUGCCAGGAUGAAUCGAGAACUUGGAGAGAUGUGCUUCAUCCAGGAUUUGCUUCCUAAGGUCGGGGUUAGAUGGGACAACAAGUCGGUUCUCAUAGUACACUAUUCCCUUCUCAUCUUGUCAGAAAUGUUUAUACCCCUCAUCUCUCUGUGCAACUUUCUCCUUAAUUAGCUUUAUUUCCUCAUCUUCUAAUUGUAUCAGCCCAAUUUGGUCCUCUAAGGUAGAUUCAAUGGAAACAUGACCUAAGGUGCCAUGGGAAAUAAUUUCCAAACUAAGUUUUCCCAUCUCAUGACAUAUGGUUUCUGCGAAGUUAGUUGCCGACAAACAAUUGCAAUGGGCCUUGCGACUGAGAGCAUCGGCAACUACAUUUGCUUUGCCGGGGUGAUAAUGCACUUCCAGAUCAUAAUCCUUAAUUAAUUCCAACCACCUUCUCUGACGCAUGUUAAGAUCCGCUUGAGUAAAGAUAUACUUGAGGCUCUUGUGAUCAGUGUAGACAUUGCAGUGAGUGCCCAUAAGAUAGUGUCUCCACAUCUUCAAGGCAUGAAUCACGGCUGCCAAUUCAAGAUCAUGUGUCGGGUAAUUCAGCUCAUGUGGCCGUAACGCUCAUGAGGCGUAGGCAAUGGCUCGGUUGUCUUGCAUGAGAACACACCCAAGUCCAGUGCCGGAGGCGUCACAAUACACGUCAAACGGCUUAGUAGUGUCAGGUUGAGCUAGGACUGGGGCAGAGGUUAAAAGUCUUCUCAAGGUGUGGAAAGCUUCUUCACAUUUGUCACUCCAUGUGAAUUUGACUCCUUUCUUCAAUAACUCAGUCAUAGGCUUAGCUAUUUUUGAGAAAUCCGGAAUGAAUCGCCGAUAGUAGCCUGCUAGACCAAGAAAGCUUCAGAUUUGAUGAACCGAAGUGGGUGGCUUCCAGUCCAUGACCUCUUGCACUUUGCUGGGGUCGACUGCAAUGCCAUCUCGAGAUAUAGUGUGUCCCAAGAAUUUAACAUUCUCCAACCAGAACUCACACUUGGAGAACUUCGCGUACAGCUGAUGAUCUCUCAAGCGUUGAAGAACAAUGCGAAGAUGCUCAGCAUGUUCCUUCUCAUUCUUCGAGUACACUAGGAUGUCAUCAAUGAAUACCACGACGAAUUUGUCCAGCUCGGGCAUAAACACCGAAUUCAUGAGAUACAUGAAAUAAGCAGGUGCAUUAGUAAGCCCAAACGACAUAACUAGAUACUCGUAGAGUCCAUACCGUGUGGAGAAAGCCGUUUUGGGAAUGUCACACGGUCGGAUCUUGAUCUGAUGAUAGCCUGAGCGAAGGUCUAUCUUGGAGAAUACUCUGGCUCCAGCUAACUGAUCAAAUAGGACAUCAAUGCGGGGCAAUGGAUAUUUAUUCUUAAUCGUCACUGCAUUGAGAGGGCGGUAGUCCACACACAUGCGUAGACUCUCAUCCUUCUUCUUCACAAACAGUGCUGGACAGCCCCAAGGUGACGUACUUGGGCGAAUGAAACCCUUUUCCAACAGUUCAUGUAAUUGGGUUUUCAGUUCUGCCAGCUCCGCGGGUGGCAUUCGAUACGGCCUCUUGGAUAUUGGUGCCGUGCCUGGUUGCAACUCAAUAGCAAACUCAAUAUCCCUAUCAGGUGGCAUGCCUGGCAGGUCAUCCGGGAAUACAUCUGGAUACUCACAAACAAUGGGGAUAUCUUUCAGUUGGGCCUCAACCACGGGAUAAGCACAGGAGUUUAUGCACUCUCGGUGGGGUAAGUGGAUAGUGGAGGUGCCAUACAGUGGUGAGUCUAUGUGGACAGCUCGGGCGGAGAUAUCUAGCAUUACUCGGUGUCGAUUCAUCCAAUCCAUACCCAAGAUAAUAUCUAUUCCCUCUAGACCGAGAAUAAUAAGAUUUUCCUUAAAGAGGGUUCUUCCUAACUUGAUAGGUACAUUGAGGUUCAUUUGAUCUGAGGCUAUUUUCCCACCCGGGGUAGAGAUCAUAUACGACCCUUUGGUGUGACAGAACCUUAACCCACAUCUAGCACCAGUUUUACUUCCGAUGAAACUAUGAGAUGCUCCGGAAUCAAAUAAAAUCAAAACUGGUUGAUUAUGAAUAAGGAAUGUACCCGUCAUCACCGGUGCGCCUUCUGGGAGUUCUGCCACAUUGGUGAAGUUUAGCCUGCCAUGACGAACUUGUACUUUGGGCUUCUUUCCCUUGUUCACCAUUGCAUUGCUCUGGCUGGGGCGUUGAUUCUUGUUUCUGGGGCAGCCUUGGCAAAGUGUCCCACGUUGCCGCAGGUGAAGCAGUGGUUACCAUUUGCAGGGCGCGGCGGCGGUGGAAGGUUGCGCUGAGGCGCCUGCGGCUGGAAACCGGGGAAACGAGGUGCUACCGGUGGUGGAGGGCGAGCAACCCAUCUCCCAGGCUGCGCGGGCCUGCGAGGUGCUGAAGGGGGAACCAUCCUGAAUUUCCGAGCAGGCGGGCUAGGUGAUAUCAUGGGAGCUUUCCGCUUCAGGUCGGCCUUGAGGGCCUUCAUGCAGUCUUCCUGGGAAAUGGCCAGAUUCACCAGCUCGUUGUAGGUAUCCACUUUGAUGGGGUUCAGCCUUUCCUUGAGUUCGAGACUCAAGCCCCUGCGGAACCGAUCCCUCUUCUUCUCAUCCGUAUCCGCGUGAUAGCUGGCAUAGCGGCAUAGGUCAUUGAAGGCUUGCGCGUAAUGCAGGACGUCACGACUUCCCUGGGUGAGAGCCAGGAACUCAUUGAGCUUGCGCUCCAUUAGGCCCUCAGGGAUAUGAUGGCCUCUGAAAGCGGUCUUGAACUCGUCCCAGCUGACGAUGUGGUCAGCCGGCAGCAUGGCGUGGUAGUGGUCCCACCAGAGGCGGGCAGAACCACGCAGCUGCUGGGCUGCGAACCGUGCCUUGUUGUCAUCGGUGCAAGGCAUAGUGAGAAGCUCGAACUUGGAUUCCAGAAUGUGAAUCCAUGCAUCAGCAUCGAGAGGAUCCUUAGUCUUGUGGAAGAGCGGGGGCUGGGUCCCCAAGAAAUCCUCGUAACGAGCGAUCUGGGGCUGCUGAUGACCCCUUCCUCCCUGAGGCUGCUGUUGUUGCCCUUGGACGAUGUGUCGCAAGAGCUCUGUUUGUGCAGCCAAGAUCGCCUCUAGCGAAGGCGGGGGAGGCGGUGGCGGCGGAGGUGCUCGAUUAUCCUCGCUACCACUUGGGAUCGAGCUUAAGCGCGCAGUGCGCACCAUUCGAGGCUAACCUAUUACAUCGCCAUCCAAAAUAUAGGUUGCCGAGGAGUAACAACAGAAGACCAACUCGCUACAACAAAAACCUAGAAGUCAUCUAAGUUGCCCACGGAGGAAGCGCUGUGCGCCGGAGAAGGGGCGUCACCAACUCGGGGCGGAGACUGAACGCCCUCGAAGUCCAUGCUCGAGACACCCUCGAUCUCCUCGGGGUCUUCCUCCUCCUCCUCCUCCUCCAUCGGGUCAUUCUCCCCCUUCUGCUCUUGCGCAUGGAUGGCAUUGAGCUCGGCGUGGUGCUCAUCCAAGUGCGCAUUAGCAACAGCUAGCUCCAUCUCAACCUCUAGCUUCUCCUCUGCAAGCAAUACCAUAUCGUGCUCCAUAUCUGUCACCUCCUCCUCUAGCUCGGUGAUCCGGGUCUCCAUGUCAGAGAUCCGUAUACCCCUCUGGAUGAGCUGGUACGACUGUUCCACCAAAUCUUUCUUGGUGGUAUUGAGAUUCUCCUGGGUGUCCACAGCUAUCCGAGCCAAGACAGCCAUAGCUCUCCCCUGGAGCUCGACCAGUCGGUACAACGCAUUCAUACAACGCGUUGCGGUGGAGAGGGUGACCUGCGGGUGUGAGGUGACCAACACCUCCAUGUUGUUCACCCUAUCAAGCCAGUCUGCGUCCAGCCUGUCCCUAGCGGGGAACAAGCCGAUCGGAUCCAAAAGGACCUCGAAAGGGUGUAGUCUGCAGAACUGAGUGAGGGCCUGCAGGGCAGCGGACUCCCAAGUAUCCUCGAGGGUAUGACCAUAUGUCGAAACCUCAAGCUGGGGCCACUGUGGCUGCACUGGGGGUGGAGGUACGACCACACGCACGCUGCACCUUUGCACCCCGUGCUCCAGGUACUCGCGUCCCGCGUAAAGAGGCGGCGACUGGUACCCAAACCACCUCAAGGUGUCCCACAAGAUAGUAGGAAAACCCUCGAAGUGUAGGCACGUGGAGUGGGAGGUGCCAUCCGUGCCAUGCAUCACGUGCCCACGAGCGGCCAUCUGGAACCAAGGAGUGAUAAAAGAAACGUGAGAUUAAAACUCAGGAUGAAAACAGAUUCUGGUAGGCUAGAGAAAAAGCUCAUAACUCAACAAGUACUCAUCCAAAAAUUCCCAAAUUUUACCAACAUUCCCUUCUGAUAAUUGGUAACAAGUUUGGUAUUCAUAAGUGGAGUGAAAACAGAUCCUAACAGGGUGAUAUACUCAGAUCUUUGGCAGGUGGCACAUGCUGGAAUUUUCAGGGACAGUGUGGCAAUAAACUGAGCAUAAAUCCCAAACCAGAGAUCUAAAUAAGCUGAAAAUUUACCACAAGGUUCUUCAAACAGCGCUCUACAGCUUUUCUUAAGCAGUGCCUAGCAGAAAAUGUCCUUAAGGGAGUCGAAACAGGAAGACUAUAACAGGUGCACAAACUGUAUUUCCAGGAAAUAAGGAGUUACAAAUUUUUGUCAUUGCUCACAGAUCCUUUGGGAAAAAUUACCAAAUUUUACCAGUGGCAUAAUAAAACGUUUUUACACACUUUUCUUAUAUAAGGUUUCUGUAGAUAACACAUGGAAACAACCCAAAAGAUUUUGAUAAGACACCAUGCUGAAAAGGGCAGCUAGAAAAUCCUUAAUGCGGGAAAAAAAAAACUUAAAACACAUGAGCAAGGUCGAUUUAAUGGUUCGGUUUCACGUAUUUUAGUUCAUGAUGCAUGCACGACCUACAUCGUCCUCUCAACCAAAAUAAUUGCCAAAAAUUGGACUUACGUGAUUAGUGCCGGUGGCGAGGCAACAAUUACAUCGCUCCCUAUAGUAUCUAGUCGGGUUUCUAAUAUCGUUUUCCUAAACGAACGUGGUUAGUGUACCUGCAGAAAAACACAAUACCACAUGAACCUUUCGUGCUAGCACUCACGAAAGCGUCCCCAUUCAUUACCGUUCACUAUAGAAACGGCACCCAUGCGUUUAACGCUGCAUGGACAGCGCAACAACCGUGGAAAUAGGCCCCUUCGAAUAGGACCAUAUAACCCUUCGCAUACUCGUGAUGCGGAAUCAUGCGCACGUAUCAUAAACGUGGGCGAACAACCGUGAUGAUAGGCUCGUUGGAAUCGAACCAUACCACCCUUCGCAUGAAUCAUCAUACGGAACCUUGCGCACGUAUAAUAAACGUGGGCGAAAACAACCGCGAUGAUAGGUUCUUUUGAAUAGAACUUCCUACCACCCCUCGCAUACUCGCGAUGCGGAACUCUGCGCACGUAUAAUACACGUGGGCAAAAGUGCUAGAAGUUAGUAAAAUAACCAAUAGCUAAUAGCCACCUUAAAUAACCCCAAAAUUCCCCUAGGGCUUCUCGUACUAAGAUCAUCCUUAACGAUCGUACGAAAUUUUCAAACUAAUUUCUUGCAAGUUUUAUUUUAGAAAAGGUAUUUUAAAGUCUGUUGUUUUCUCUGUCAUGCUUUCAAGCUCUGGUACCAGCUGUGGCAGAACCGCCUAAAUUAACUUGGCUAAAGCACACUUAAGUCGCCUAAACGCGAUCAUGUACUUUAAACAAGUCAACUUGGUCGUCCGUCGGAUUUCCUCCGAUAAAACCACGUAACGCAGGAUCGAGAAAGCAAAACUCACACGAUGGUGAGUGGUUACAGAGAUUACAACAGUCCAUCCAGAUUAAACAAAGUGCAUCAAUUUAUUACAACAUAAAGUUCAGAAAUUCAAACAUAGUUUGUAGAGUGUUCAAGCAGCGGAAAUAAAAUGAACGGAAACUAAACGUCGGUGCACGAUAUCAUGAAGAAGCCGAUCAUGACAUCACUAACCCCUGUCCUCGCCGUCCGAGGAGGGAUCCCACUCGACCGUCCAACCCGGAGGGAGCUGGGUAGACCAAGCAGAACUAGCAGCGAACUCAGAAACAUCAUCCUCACCUGAAAAGAGGUGCCACAAACAAGGCUGAGCAACUAUGCUCAACAAGACUUAACCGACCUGUGGUACUAAUCCACUAACACCUAGACAUGUAAGCUUUUUGGCUCUGGGUUUUGUUUUGCCAAAAGCGACUAGUGUAGGUCCUUACUUUCAACAUUUUAGCCACCAGUUCUACUGUUGUUUAUCAUUCUAAGUUAGCAACUAUACUAAACAAGCAUAGUUUUCUAAGCAAUUAAUAACAAGUAACAAUAUUAUAUCAUCAUCAUCUUUCAUUCUUACUCAGUGUAGCGUAGCGAUCAAGUAGUCCCACACUGUGAGAGGCAGACGAAUCGAUUCGAAUUUAUUAACCAUGCAUGGCGAACCUAAUCCCACGACAUCCGCGCACCACGAAGGGUCACUUCACUUGUCAGCCGUCCCCAUCGAUCCCUAGGUACGUGUCAGGUCCAAACUUCCUUUGGCAUGCAAUGCUCCACAGUCCCGGUCUCUACCGUACUAUGACCGCCAUUGCACCCACAUGAUGCACCAUGGGAACGACGUUCCAAGGAUAGCAGGGGUAUAAGCCACGUCCCAGUUCAAUCAGGUACUAGGCUUCCCCAUCCCAUACUAGGUAUGAGAUUAGUACUUUCAAACACUUGAUCACGAACACCAUCACCUUUCGACCUUAGUCCAAAUUUCAAGUAGACAGACGGGGCAAACCACCGAGUACCAACAUAAGCCCGGCCCCGUCCAUCAUCCUUAUAGUUGCAACAAAAAGAAAAUCAUUCAAUUCCUAUAACUUGCGAGUGAUAGGAAAUCACUCGACUUUUACCGAGUCCUAUUUAGCAUUGCAACUACUCGACUUCUUAUACUAGUGUUCAGAUCAAGGGGCACUAUAUUCAUGCAUCUAUGGUUUCAAUCAAUUCCUAUAAACGUAAAUGCAUAAUCAAAACAACCAAUAUAUUGCAAGUAUUUAAAUAUAGGAAUUUAUGAUCCGGGGCUUGCCUUCACACUCGGAGUUACCGAACUGGUCCUCGGCUUGCUCUAGCACGGGCUCGACUUCGGCGUGGUGUAGAUCCGCUACAGCUUCCUCUUCGGGCGUCGGGUGCAGCUCGUAUGUACCGUCGGCGAUGUUAACUUCUACAUGAAAUGCAGGUGCAAAUGAUUCAACAUGCAAAACCAAGAGUCUGAAAGGCAUUUCAUAUAUUAUUCCUUUUUAUCUUUCUCUAAAAAGGAAAGAGGUUUUCAUUAACUUUCAAACCAAGUCUCAUAAUUUUCCUGUGAACUACACCUCAUUCCUGAAUUAUUCCAAGUGGUUUCAUAUUUUUAUCAUCUCUGGAUUUAUCAUUAUGCAAAAAGAAAAAUCUACCCGUAGAUUUCAAUUAAUAAACUAAAACAGUAACUUAAAUGUCUAAGCUAGGCUCUAAACCAUUUUUCUAAGCUUUUAUUCUCUGAAACAAACACUUGAGAGUUGGAUUUACCUUUUUAGCAUUUUCUGUUAUUUUCUAUGAUUUAAACUAGCUUAAACAAGGAUUAAAUCAUAUAACAUUAAUUCUAACAGAGACAUGUGUAAACUUAUUUUUAUAUGAAACUACACAGAAUAUUGAGUCUAACAAAAUUUAUCUUGCAUUUUUAGCAUUUUUCUACACUUUUCUAUGCCUUUUUAAACUUUCAGCCUUUUUAGAUCUAGGAAAAAAAAGAAAACCGAGGCAAUCUUCCAAUCUAGCCCUCCAGUCUAUGGGUUAAAUGCGUAGAGGCCCCUGGAUCUUGCGCCUACACCCCUGGACAAAAACCCACCUCAAACAUAAAUCCCACGACUUUCCCCAUAACCCCCUGACUUUCUUUCUUCUUCCCCACAUAGAUCCCUCACGUACAAAAGCACAGCAACGUUCAGGCAUGGCACAAAACAUGGCGCUGGAACUUGGGGGCCGGCCGCGACAGAGGGAAAGGAAGAGCACACGGCAGGGGGAAGAGGAGAGGGGCGGCGCCUUGGGCCAGGAGUGCUCACCAGCGACGCUGCGAUGAGGAGGGACGGCGUGCAGCAGUUCUCACGGCACAGGAAGGGGGCGGAUGGGGGCUCGCGUGGAGGGGGCUGCUCGGCAAGGGAGGGAGCCUGGGAAGGGGCAAAAUGGAAGCGGGAUGACGAGGAGGCGCCGUGGCUGCAAGGAAUCGACCGGAGACUCGCUCACGGCGGUGGAUUUCGCCGGCAAAGUUUGAGCGUGGCGAGGUGCUGCGAGAGUGGGGAGGGGAGUACGGUGGGGUGGGCGAGCUAUUUAUAGCCGCGACGAGCUCGUGGGGCUGGCCGGUGGGUCGGAGGGGCGUUGGUACGCUGCUGCGGGGUGGACCGGCCACGGCGGGCACCAUUGGCGGAUAGGGGAGGCGACUUGGCGGGCGUGCUUGCAGGCGGGCGCCGCAGGCGAAGCAGGCGUGCACGGGUGAACGGCUCCAUCAGGGCGUUGCAGGCGAGGCCGAGGAGCUGUGGCGUCUUGUCUCGGGCGUGCAUUGGCGGGCACGGCGGCGGUGGCGUGCCAGAGCGUCGCAGGGCGCGUGCGGAUAGAGCAGCAGCAGGGGGCAACUCGAUGGGGCAGCGACGAGGAGCACGUGCCACGGGGCGGCCGGCGAGGGGAGCACGGCGCACGCGUGCUCGGCGUGAGCUCUGGUGCAGGAUUUGCGGGAUCGGACGAUAGGGCAAUCUUCGAGCGCGAUCUUCUCCAGAUUUUUGAACUGCACAACCCCUACUCCCUUUACAAAAGUUGUAGGCCUAGGAUCUAAGUUCAAUUCUUGUAAUUGUCUUGAUUUCAAAUUCGAAGCUGAAUUGAAGAUAAAACGCUUCAAAGUUUGGCAAAAUCCGAAACUUUCAGACUUGAACACUUCAGCCAUUUUUGACAGUGUUGACCAUUUUAGCUGCGUUUGACCUCGUUUUUGAAAACCUUCUGUGCAGAUUUUGGCCUAAGCCCAAAAAUCAAAGUUGUUAAGGACUCGUAGCACUAAAACUUUCAUAAAAGGUUUGUCAUGAGCAUACAUUCGAAAAUGUGAGAAAAAGGGCUCCAAAGUUCUGACUUUAUUUGAUCUGCACCUUUCGGCCCAGAUUUGUAAUUCGAUAUUUUGACUCUUUUCUGAUCAGUUUCAAGCAAAAAGCUAAUUACAAAAGUUGUUAGAAUUUGUGAGUUAUACAACUCUUAGUUAGGCAUAUUUUUAAGUUUUUGAGCAAAAAAAUUGAGUUAUGGCUUGAACACGUGUUUAGCUUGUAAGGGGCAAAAGGGGUCAUUUUACUUGGGUGCAAGGCUGUUCAUUGGUUCCAUUAAGCUCUAAUGACUUCACUUAAGCUCAAAGAAGGUAAAUUUUAGCUCGUUUGCUACACAUACACACAUACAUACAUACAUAUAUAGACACACACAUAUAUACAUAUAUAUGGACACACACACAUAUAUAUUUAGGAACGAGCUCACCUGUUGAUUCAAUUGUCUAGUUUGAGCUCCAGCAAUUUGUCCUUGCAUAGCCACCGGAGGAGUGUUCUAUGCAUCCAAGGAGUGAUGUCCUCAUCAUCCCCCCCCCCCCCCCCGCCCUCUUGAAGUGGAGUCAUCCCCGACUCAAGCUCAUCCUCUCUCCCAAGUAUAGCUUCAAAUCUGCAAUGUUAAAGAUGGGACUAACCCAAAACUCAGGAGGCAACUCAAGUUUAUAUGCGUUGUUAUUUAUUUUCUCAAUUAUUUUAAAAGGACCAACAGCUCUUGGCAUUAAUUCAGAAUAGGUCCAUUCAAUUUCUUGCUAAAGUAAGCAACGGGUUUACCUUCUUGCGUCAAAACAUCACCAAUACCAACUCCGCUAGCAUCACAUUCAAGCUCAAAGACCUUACCAAAAUCAGAAAGUUGUAGCAAUGGUGCCAAAGUAAGCUUUUCUAUCAAUGUUGCAAAAGCUUGUUCUUGUGCUGGACCCCAAUGGAAUGAAACUCAUGAAGUAGGGAAGCAAUGGUGCUGAAAUCUCUCACAAAGCACCGAGGAAACUCUGCAAGACAAAGGAAGCUCCUCACGUGUGUAAUAGUCUCAAGGGUUAGGUAGCUCUUAAUGGCUUCAAUUUUUGCUCCAUCCAUCUCAUUUCCUUGUGGAGUCACAGCAUAGCUAAGAAAAGCAACUCGAUCGAUGCAGAAGAUGCACUUCUCAAGGUUAGCAAAAAAGCGUGACACUCUCAAAGCGUCAAAAACAACACGUAGAUGAUCAAAGUGUUCCGCAUGUGACUUGCUAUAGAUCAAGAUAUCAUCAAAAUAAACUACAACAAAUUUACCAAUGAAAGCAUGUAAAACCUCAUUCAUCAAUCUCAUGAAAGUGCUAGGUGCACUAGUUAAACCAAAAGGCAUCAGUAACCACUCAUAGAAACUAAAUUUCAUUUUAAAAGCUAUUUUUCAUUCAUCUCCUAAUUUCAUUCUUAUUUGGUGGUAGACACUAUGCAAGUUAAUCUUUGUGAAAAUAAUACAGCCACUUAACUCAUCAAGCUUGUCAUCUAGCCUAGGUGUCGGAUUUAUAAACCUGGUAGUCCACUAGGGAGUUACCCAAGUGGUUGAUUUGUAGGUGGAGGUGAUUAUUGCGAAACCAAGAACUCGGAGGUGUUUGCAAGAACACAAGGGACAUGAGGGUUUUAGACAAGUUCGGACCUCCGGAGAGUAAUACCCUACGUCCUAUAUGCUUGGUGUCUUGUAUUGCUUGAGAGUUGAGAUUGUUGGGUUGCCCUCGGGAGGCACCCUUUGCCACCUUAUAUAGGUUGAUGACCAAAGGUUUACAAGUCGGUUUGGAUCUAAUCUACUUGGUAGUUACAUGGAAGGUAAUCUGAGUCGGACUACAAUACAUGUCCCACAAUAUCCAGGUUGUUUUGAAUUGCUCGACCUCCUUGGUGUGUACUCCAAGUAUCUUCAUAUCUUUGGCCCACACGCCCUGGUCAGGCGGGCCCACUUGUUAGGUCCGGCCAGUAUCUUAGUCAGUGGGGACACAUGGGGUACCCAUAUCCCUUAAGCCCCCGAGCGAUGUGUAGGCGAACAGGAACUUGAGGUCAUCACAGCGAAGCUUGGAAUGUAGUCAGGUGAACCUACGAUGGCGUCAUGGUGACAGAGAGGUUGCACAGUGCUCAAAAAAGAAGAAAAUCCAAGCGAACGCAGAGCCGUCACGUAGAGUGAUGUCGAGUACCGAAUUGAUAGAUGUUGGGCAUCCAAUAGGUCGAAGCAAAGGAUAUAGAGGGCGUCGAAAGAUGCACUCCAAAGGAGUAGCCCCCAAGCAUUGAAGUGAUUAGUAUAAUCAGUCCAAUGGUCAAAAAAAGAAGAAAAAAGUUGAUCCCGAUAGCAGGUCCAAGUGCCUGAACAAAAGGAUGAGCAAAGCCACAGAGGCAUGUCAAACAUAAGUAGGUGACCAGUCCCAAGGAUGAGGAUUGGCGGAGCCACGGAGGCACAUCGACCUGAAAUAGGCGCCCAGCCCUCGAGGACGAGGACUGGCGGAGCUGCGAAGGCACGUUGACCUAAAAUAGGCACCCAACACCCCAGGACGAGGACUGGCGGAGCAGCAGAGGCACGCCGACCUAAAAAUAGGCAUUCAACCCCUAAGGACGAGGAUUGGCAGAGCCACAUAGGCACGCCAGCAUGAAAUAGGAACCCAGCCCCUGAGGACAAGGACUGGUAGAGCCAUAGAGUCACGUCGUUGAACAUCUAACAAAAAACUUGUCGACUUUGUCUGGCGCGUGUGCCACGAUAACGAAAAACCCACAAAUUUCGUUGCUAGGGUUAUGUCGUCACACCCUUCAAAAGCACAAGGGGCACAAAUCCGUUUUCAUUUCCAUCCAUUACACUUGCAUCGCCGCCACCAUAGUCCACUGAGCACAUCACUACCGCGACCGGGAACCCUAGGCUACGUCGCCACAAUUCCAAAUAUACUCAUGCACACUUUGCCGCUGCCGCCCAAGCUGUUGUGCCGCCGCCGCCCAAGCCGACAUGCCGCCAUAUGCGCAUCAAAACCCUAGCAGGCAUUAGAUCCAAAUCACAAGGCUUAGAAACCAAAGAAAUGACGCAAGCGAACAUUCCAGAUCCAUCCUUGGUCUAGAUGAAGUCCAUGAUGACGGAGGAGUGCAUCCAAGCGCUCAUCUACCGAGGCCCUCCUUCGGCCCAAGCUGCUGCUGGAUUGGAAGCCAACCGCCGGCCAAGAUUUCCUGACGGAGGACAAGAUGGAGAUGGUGGUUUUCGCAUCAUUCUUCGAGUGUGGGUUCGGGAUCCCGUGUGGAGACUUCUUCUGCGGUCUGCUGCAUUACUACAAGAUCGAGCCGGUACAUCUAAAUCCCAACUCCAUUCUUGACAUUGUGGGUUUUAUCCAUCUUUAUGAGGCAUAUUUGAGCACCCCCCCACUUGUGUCAACCAAAAGGAAACAACAUCGAGUGAUUGGGGCUUGCGGUUUUUUGCUUUGGCAAAGGAAAGUGCAUGAGUAUUUUGACCUCUAGUUGAAGGAAUCAAACAAAGGUUGGCAUAAGAAGUGGUUCACAGUAGCCAAUCAGGAGCCCGAGCUCCCGCCGUGUACUAGAUACAGGUCAGUGAUAAUGCUCGAGUGGUCAAACCAGCCAACCUCAGAAGAGCAAGUGCAUGUGAAUCAGUCGCUGGCCAAGAUCGCUAACUUGAAGGUGCAUGGUCUGACAACCGAAGUAGUCAGCAUGAACUUCUACUGGAGAUUAGCGCAGCCAAUCAAGAACCGAGUUCAUCCAGUGUAUGAGUACCCAGGGCUGUAGGACCCGACCCGUGAGGUCCAGCAAAAGUUGCCCGAGGACAAAAUCGUCAACUGGGUGUCCGAUUUUUGGGGGGGCAUUAUCAAAAACAGAAGCCGCCCCAAGGCUUAUUCUCUGAAGAGGCCACUGGCCAACCCGGUAUGAUCUUCAAUGGCAUCGAUGUAGCAUACUUACUAUGCUGUUGUGUUGUUUCUGACAAUACUUGUGAAUUUGACCAGGAUGACAAGUUCGCAUUCUUUUGCCCAGUGCCGUUUCUUGGAGGGGCCGAGCAGCGGUGGCCCUAGAUCCGCCCGACCGAUGAGGCAAACGAGCCGCCUGCCGGCCUUGAGUGGGAGUCUGACUCCUCCAUCGGGUCAGACGAGAGCGUGCCAGAAGAGGUCGGCCAGGCCGCAGACGCUGCGAUGAUUGGACGUCAAACACGGCAAGCCAUGCAUAAGCAGUCCGCCUCCAAGUCGCAGAAGUCGAGCUUCAAAAGGAAGAAGAUGGUCGGCAAGAAGGGGAAGGAGAAGAAUACGGCCACCCCGAGCGCAACCUCCGCCACCAGGUAGGCCAGCGAGGUGGACGAGGAGUCCGACAUGCUGAGCCCUUCCACGAAGAAGAAAAAGUCCAAGCUCCUUGAGACGAUUGCGGCCAACACAGAUCAUGUCAAAGAGGCAUUGAAGGCGAAGAUCCACGAGGGGUCCAGUGGAGACGCAUCGACGCCGCCACUACCAUUGCACCCCAAAUUCUGAGUAAAGAAGAAGAGCACCAAGUAAGUGCAACCUGAUUGUGUUGUUUGUCUUGUUGAUAUUAUCGCCACCUAUCUUGCCUGAAUGACUAUGUGAAUCAACAAUGCAGGAGUUCCAUGCUAGAUAAUGAGGCUAGUGUAUAGCUAACUAGUUGCUCAGCCCAAACCAAGGUGGUGAGUGGCCGCACCAUUGAAUAGCCCCGACCUCCAGAGGUUGGGGCACAUAAGGAUGGUCACGCCAAGGGAGGCCGUGCCAAAUCUAGUGCCGCCACAAGACGCAGUCGGCUCUGGGGCUGCAGACGCUACUGUGGUCGACUCCAGGAUCGAGUAGGUGACUGGUGAGGAAGCUAGAGCCGAGCCUCACCUAGAGAAGUUGCCCAGAGAUGAUCCGCUGCAAAAAGAAUCCAGCGGGGGCGCUGACGUUGGCGUACAAGGUGAAGAAGAUCUGGAGACUUUGAACCUUUCUGAGUCCGACCUUGCUAGGGAUGCGGCGUAGGACAAGAAGGAUCUUGCCAAGCUGCGGCAGUCAUCCUCAGAGAUUUCCGAGUUGUUAGGUCUAAGUGUGCCAACCAACCCCAGAGGACUUGUAGCUGAAUUCUGGUUUCUUUGCUGAGCUCUAAUUGUUAAGAUGUAUGCAGGGUCUAGCCGGGCAUGCUCAGAGGAGGGCAGACGCGAUCCACCAAGUCGAGCACAUCGCCUCAAGGUGGAGCGACUCGAGGCCGACCUCAAGAAGGCCAGAGAGGAUGCCGCAAAGCAUGCCGACCAACUCUUGCGGAAAGACCUGGACCAUGCUAUGGAGAAAGAAGUUCUUACUGCACACUUGAACAGUAUGUUGUGCUGACCUAUUGAAUCGAUUUUGUCCUUGAAGUCUAGGUGCUGACAUAUGCUUGUUUGAAUGAGCAGAUGCCGUGGUGAGGGAACAAAUGCUCAAGCGGCACAACAAGGAGUGUGAGGAUUCCAAUGCGUGCCUUCAGCAAUAGCAUGAUGUGGCAGUUCAUCAUGAGUAUGCUGUAUCGUAGAAGCUAACUUAUGAAGCCAAUGCGCGCAAGGAAAAUAAGAGGUAGGAUGGCUCUCAAGUGUUAGGAACAGCUCGGGCAAUGUAACAAUGAAGGGAGUAGGUACGGAAAGAACCUCAGAGGUUUUACUCAGAAAGGAAAAAAAAUACAUAGCUUUUAAAUCUUAAGGGUAGAAGCGCUGCAUGUGCUCAGUGUUCCUUAGUUUGGGGAUGCCUGAGCUGUCUACCCACUGAUAGGUGCCUGGUUGGAUAACCUUGUUGGUGAUGAAGGGGCGUCAUGGUCAUCGUGGCAGCGGUUGUCACAACGGUUGUCGUCCCUGCGGUAGUUGUUGCGGUGAACUCGCUUGUACUCCACCGGUGUGCCAAGCUCUUUCUUGAUGACUAUAUAGUCCUGGAGAUUGUGACAUGCGUCCUUAUUGAAGGGGCACGGAGCGUUCAUGGUGUCAGUAAACUCUUCCCGGAGGAAGGUGGUUGGUUUGGCAGGAUCAGCUUUGGCAGUAAGGACCUCGGAUUCCCGGAUGGGCUCCAGCCGACCUCCCACGCAGUUACCAUGGUUGCCUUAGUGGUGAUCGGGUCUACUAUGAGCGGAUCGGCUUUGAGGGUGCUGGCUGGUUGAUGUGGACCUGGAGUGUGUUGACUUGCUUUGGGCCUAUUCUUUGAUCUCGGCAUUAGCUAUGCGGAUACGUGCCCGAACUCAUCGAAUUAGCUCUAGAAGGUGUUCCAAAUUGGCGUAGGCAGCCCCCAGGUUUGCCUGGGGUGUGGUGAAGAUGUUGUGGCUGGUCUCUUCGAGGUCGACUUGUAGAUUGUGACCGCACAUAGGAUGCCAGCGUCUACCCUGAGCACUGUCCUAGUCAACGUUGUCCCCAUCGUUGGCGUACUAGGUCGGCGUCGGAGGCGAGCGGUGGUCGGCGCUGGUCACCUACUGCCUCGGCUCCUAUGUUAACAACAGGUUGAUCCCUAUCUGUGGGUGGAUCGCUGGCGGAGACCACAAAGGCUUAGCGAUCUGGCGUGGUGGAGUUGGCGUUGUUUCCAUAAAGGUUCGGGGUCAGGACGAUGCGGGGGAUCUGGAACUCGCCACAGUCCGAAAACUGGGUGGGUGUGGAUGGGUCAUCAGAUUGGAUCUGAAAGGACUACACAAGUUUCAUGGAAAAUAUGGCAGCCAAGUUCUUUAGACCAAAGGGGGCGAGGGAAGAACCCUGCGCUGACCUUGUUGAGCAUAGUGUCGCCUCAGAGAGAUCAAUGCACUCGGCAAUUGUGUUGCUGAUGCAAUCUAGCCCCGCGAUUAGAUUGGAAGACAUGGGUGGGUGGGUUGCAGCAAGGAUGUUGGGAAUUGUCUUAGAGAGGGAGGGAUCGCCGAUUAGCAAAGCGAGCGGCUCGAAGGUCUCCGGGUGGAGGUCUUGUGUUGCUAGCAGAUCCAGCGGAGGCGGAGUCGAUGAAAGAAGCGGCAGGGUCGGGAAUCCAUCAGCAUGGUCACAAAGCGAAGUUGGAUUGGGUUGGCGAGGAAGUCCUUCAUGCUCUCAGGAAAAACAACGCCGGGGUGGGAUGCCAUUGAGCUCUCUAGGGAGGAUCUCACAAUCACCCCUACCUAGCGUGCCAACCGUCGGAUUUAUAAGCCUAGCAGUCCACCAGGGGGUACCCAAGUGGUUGAUUUGUAGGUGGAGGUGAUUGCAAAACCAAGAACUCGAAGGUGAUUGCGAGAACACAAGGGACACAACUAUUUUAGACAGGUUCGAGCCUCCAGAGAGUAAUACCCUACAUCCUGUAUGCUUGGUGGCUUGUAUUGCUUGAGAGUUGACGACCUAGGGUUGCUCUCGGGAGGUACCCUUGGCCGCCUUAUAGAGGCUGACGACCUAGGGUUUACAAGUCAGUUUGGAUCUAAUCUACUUGGUAGUUACAUGGAAGGUAAUCUGAGUCGGACUACAAUACAUAUCACGCAAUAUCCGGGCUGUUUUGAAUCGCUCAACCUUCUUGGCGUGUACUCCAAAUAUCUUCGUGUCCUUGGCCUGCACGUCCUGGUCCACUUGUCAGGUCCAGUAGUUAGGUCCGGCCAGUAUCCUAGUCGAUGGGGACCCAUAGGGUACCCAUAUCCCUCACUAGGUAUAGGGUAACAAUAAUCAAUGGUUAUGUUAUUAAUAGCUCUACAAUCAACACACAUACACCAAGUAUCAUCUUUCUUAGGAACUAAAAAUAGGUACAGGACGAGGACUAAGGCUUUCUCAUACAUACCCACUGUCCAAAAGGUCUUGGACUUGUCACUGAAUUUCCGUAGUCUUCUCCAGGUUCAUCCUACAUGCAGCUCGGUUUGGUAAAGUUGCUCUCAGAAUCAAAUCAAUUUGAUGCUCAAUUCCCCCCAAAGGUGGCAGCCCUGGUGAUAUCUCACUUGAAAACACAUCCAUGUACUCCUACAAAAGGUUAGUGAUAGCAGGAGGCAAAGUGCUAGCUACUUCAUCAAUAGAAACAAAAGUAUGUUUGCAGAUCAAAGCAUAGCACACAUUAGCAUCUCCAUUCUCAAAAACAUUAAAAGAAGUACUUAGGAAUGAGCUCUAGUGAUUGGUCCUUGUAUAGUCACUCCUUGUAUAGUCACAUGAGCUCUAGUGAUUGGUCCUUGUAUAGCCACAUGAGGAGUGUUGUGUGCAUGCGAAGGAGUGAUGUCCUCAUCACUGCAUCAAGGUGAAAUAUGUGAGAACGGAGUAAUUCACAAGUCAUAACUUUGGGAAUGUAAUAAAUAGGGACCGGUAUUUAUGGUGACCCGAGUGCCUUUGGAUUAUUAUGGUACAAAGUAGAGGUCCAAGUUGGUACUUGGGAGUUGAGAUACAAGUCGGCUAAAUUAGUGCCAAAAAAACAUUAUUAAUUCUGGGAGUGUCAAAAUUUUGUAGCGGGUCCCAUGCACCAUAGCGAAUAAUAAAAUUGCAUUAUAGUUCAUAAGGAUCUCAAUGUGGAAUAAAAUUAAACAUGAGCUUGACUAGUUUUAAUUGGGCAAUGUAGAUCUCACAUAUGAGAGACGUGGAUUUUUUUAUGCUCAAGCAACACACGUGUAUAUAUUUAACUAGUAAGCUAAUAAAGAGAAAAGGAAAUUUAAAUUUUGACAAACAAGAAAGGGAAAUAAAGCUUGAACAAAUCAAAUUAGAAAACAACCAAGCUUGGUUGAGCACUGAUGAGUAUCAGGAAAUCCUUAGUUGAAAAGAUCACAGAAAUAAACAUAUUAGGGGCUAGCAGCGCAUACAACUGAUGAGUAAGGGCCUCUUUGGAACAUAUGAUUCCCAAAACGUACAAAUGAGAAAAAAUAGGGUUACAUGAAACUUGCAAUACUACAUGAAUUCAAAAUGCAGGAAAGUUUAUGUAGUAGCCUUUGGAUACAACACAGGAAAAACACAGGAAUUCGAAUCGAGAGAGACACACACAUAAACACACAUACAGGAAAGUUUUCAUAAGGUCCUCCAGAGACACACACAUAAACACACAUACAGGAAAGUUUUCAUAAGGUCCUUCAGAAUUCCUAUGGAUUCAUGCAUCCCAUAAGAAUUCCAAGGAAUUUAUAGGGUGCAAUCCUUUGUUCCAAAGGGUCACAUAGGAAAUUUUCAUAUAGGAUCGAAAUCCUUCAAAAUUCCUAUGGUUUUCCUUUGCUCCAAAGGGGGCCUAAACUGACACUAAUGUUUUGGUGGUUGUCCGCCGCGGCUAGAGCUAACUGCAUAGAACGUUUGCGUCACUUGACAUGCGAUGAUGAUGAGAGCCACUAGUAGUACGAUGAUGAUCACUAAGUUCUUAAACUGGCAGAACCAUCCCAUGAACCUGUGCACGCGGUUCUCGCAGCGCUCCUGCAUCUCGUGCCACAUGGGCAUGAGGUAGUUCCUGUCGAUGUUGUCGACGUCCAUGACCACUCCCUUGCAGAGGUCGGCGAAGUCUUGAGCGACCUGCUCGUCGCUGGCGAGGAAGUGUUCCACGAUCCCUGAGUGAACCAAGAGCUUCACGUCCUCCACCGUGCCUGCCACCUGCGACAUGAAGAGGCAGUACGCCGUGACAGGUCUCCGGGAGAUCUGCUCCUCCAGCGCCAUCAGGUUUCGCAGGACCGUCCACGUCAUGUUAUCAACCCGCAGGCGGGGGACCCACAGCGUGCCUCCUUGAAGGCGCACGUCGAGGAAGGUCCACUUCUCAUUGUCCUGGAAGACCCGACGCUUGAACCGCACGUUGCCGUACUUGCAGUACUCCGUCGCGCGGCGCCACCGACCCGUGCGAGGGCGUGCAGCGUUCUCUUCCAUGGCCGGAGGUGGACUAGUUGGCUGCAAGUAGAAGUGCAAUAAGUGCAGCAGAUGGAGCGUCGGCGGCGUCAGAGGCGGAGCCGGCCGCCGGUGCUUGCUGAUGUAGAGCUGUACCUGCAGCACCUCCUGGACAUAAUCUGCUAUGGAUUCGAGGGCGGAGCUGGUGGUAUCACCUGUGACGCGCUCAUGGAUC